GUUACUUUGUCAAAUGGAACAUUCAAUAAAAUUGGGACGAUACAGUGUACCAUGGCUCCUGCACAAGGAUGUGACACAAAUCGAGAAAUGGUCUAAACUUUU
rnacentral:snRNA from 2 species